rnacentral:lncRNA from 1 species
CAGAGCAACCAAAUUUUGCAGAUUUCAGUCAGUUUGAAGUAUUUGCUGCAUCAAAUGUAAACGACGAACAAGAUGAUGAAGCCGAGAAACAUCCAGAAGUCCUGCCGGCUGAAAAAGCUUCUGAUCCUGCAAGUUCUCUUCGAGUUGCCAAAACAGAUAGUAAAACUGAAGAAAAGACAGCUGCUAGUGCUCCUGCCAAUGUGAGCAAAGGCACAACACCACUUGCUCCACCACCUAAACCUGUUCGAAGAAGAUUAAAAUCAGAAGAUGAAUUAAGGCCAGAAGUUGAUGAACAUACACAAAAGACGGGUGUCUUAGCUGCUGUUCUUGCAUCACAACCUUCUAUUCCCAGGAUGUUCUUGAGGAGAGAAUUUCCCUGGAAGUUCAACUGGAACAACUUCGACCAUUCUCUCACCUAUAAGCCAAUUGCCGUUAACUGUGAACAUACUUGUUUUUAAGUGGUUUUGGGUUCAAAGCCAAUUUGGAGACCUAGACAUUCAGCUCACUGCUUAACUCAACAUUAAAUUUUAUGAUUCUGUUUUGCCCUAUAUGUUCACCGUUGUAUUUAAGUAUCUUUUAUUUUUUAAUUUCGACAAUAAAAAGGUCAGGAUGGCGUUUU